rnacentral:rRNA from 1 species
AGAGUUUGAUCAUGGCUCAGGAUGAACGCUAGCGGCAGGCUUAACACAUGCAAGUCGAGGGGUAUAGGUUUUCGGACCUAGAGACCGGCGCACGGGUGCGUAACGCGUAUGCAAUCUACCUUUCACAGAGGGAUAGCCCAGAGAAAUUUGGAUUAAUACCUCAUAGUAUUAUAGAAUGGCAUCAUUUUAUAAUUAAAGUCACAACGGUGAAAGAUGAGCAUGCGUCCCAUUAGCUAGUUGGUAAGGUAACGGCUUACCAAGGCUACGAUGGGUAGGGGUCCUGAGAGGGAGAUCCCCCACACUGGUACUGAGACACGGACCAGACUCCUACGGGAGGCAGCAGUGAGGAAUAUUGGUCAAUGGACGCAAAUCUGAACCAGCCAUGCCGCGUGCAGGAUGACGGUCCUAUGGAUUGUAGACUGCUUUUGCACAGGAAGAAACAACAUUACGUGUAAUGUCUUGACGGUACUGUGAGAAUAAGGAUCGGCUAACUCCGUGCCAGCAGCCGCGGUAAUACGGAGGAUCCAAGCGUUAUCCGGAAUCAUUGGGUUUAAAGGGUCCGUAGGCGGUUUAGUAAGUCAGUGGUGAAAGCCCAUCGCUCAACGGUGGAACGGCCAUUGAUACUGCUAAACUUGAAUUAUUAGGAAGUAACUAGAAUAUGUAGUGUAGCGGUGAAAUGCUUAGAGAUUACAUGGAAUACCAAUUGCGAAGGCAGGUUACUACUAAUGGAUUGACGCUGAUGGACGAAAGCGUGGGUAGCGAACAGGAUUAGAUACCCUAGUAGUCC